rnacentral:rRNA from 1 species
GGGGAAUAUUGCACAAUGGGCGAAAGCCUGAUGCAGCAACGCCGCGUGAGUGAUGAAGGUCUUCGGAUUGUAAAGCUCUGUCUUUUGGGACGAUAAUGACGGUACCAAAGGAGGAAGCCACGGCUAACUACGUGCCAGCAGCCGCGGUAAUACGUAGGUGGCGAGCGUUGUCCGGAUUUACUGGGCGUAAAGGGUGCGUAGGCGGAUGUUUAAGUGAGAUGUGAAAUACCCGGGCUUAACUUGGGUGCUGCAUUUCAAACUGGAUAUCUAGAGUGCAGGAGAGGAGAAUGGAAUUCCUAGUGUAGCGGUGAAAUGCGUAGAGAUUAGGAAGAACACCAGUGGCGAAGGCGAUUCUCUGGACUGUAACUGACGCUGAGGCACGAAAAGCGUGGGUAGCAAACAGGAUUAGAUACCCUGGUAGUCCACGCCGUAAAACGAUGAGUACUAGGUGUAGGAGGUAUCGACCCCUUCUGUGCCGCAGUAAAACACA